CGAAACCGCGAAUGGCUCAUUAAAUCAGUUAUGGUUCCUUAGAUCGUUUCUUCCUACUUGGAUAACUGUGGCAAUUCUAGAGCUAAUACAUGCAGUGAGCCCGAAGCCCCUCGGGGCGACGGGUGCUUUUAUUAGACCAAGAUCAAUCGGGCUUCGGUCCGUUUUGUGUGGUGACUCUGGAUAACUUUGUGCUGAUCGCACGGCCACGAGCCGGCGACGUUUCUUUCAAGUGUCUGCCUUAUCAACUGUCGAUGGUAGGUUAUGCGCCUACCAUGGUUGUUACGGGUAACGGAGAAUCAGGGUUCGAUUCCGGAGAGGGAGCCUGAGAAACGGCUACCACAUCCAAGGAAGGCAGCAGGCGCGCAAAUUACCCACUCCCGGCACGGGGAGGUAGUGACGAAAAAUAACAAUACGGGACUCUUUUGAGGCCCCGUAAUUGAAAUGAGUACACUCUAAAUCCUUUAACGAGGAUCCAUUGGAGGGCAAGUCUGGUGCCAGCAGCCGCGGUAAUUCCAGCUCCAAUAGCGUAUACUAAAGUUGCUGCGGUUAAAAAGCUCGUAGUUGGAUCUCAGUUACAGGCGGGAAGUGCGUGGACACCACGUUACGGCCCGUGCUGAACAUCAUGCCUGUCGUGGCUUGGUUCCCUUCAUCAGGUGCCUUGCUUUGGCCGGCGCGUUUACUUUGAAAAAAUUAGAGUGCUCAACGCAGGCGAUUCGCCUGAAUAACAGUGCAUGGAAUAAUAGAACAAGAUCCUGUUUCUGUUCUGUUGGUUUUUGGAAUACAGGAUAAUGAUUA
rnacentral:rRNA from 1 species